UCGGGUGUGGUGUAUGGUGCACAGCAACUUACUGUUAAUGAGCAGUCCAACCCUUAUACGCUGCAGGUCGGGGUUCGACUCCCCGCGCCCGAA